rnacentral:sRNA from 1 species
UUCAAACAACUCGCUUUGAUGCUUUCAAACAUGUACCCGCUUUCUAAAUUUUUUCAAAAACACGCUUCUAUGCUUCCAAACGCUUCCGCUUUCGCGUAUCUGCUUCCGAUUUCAUGCAGCUUAGGUGAAAAUCCGAUGAGUCAUGGUCACGUUAUUGUGAGUUAUCGUGAUAUGUUAUUCUUUUAUUCUAUUUUUUUUUUAUGCACAUCUAUUUUAAAGCAUUUCAAAAUAAUGUAUGUUUAAUAUUUUAUGCUUUGUAAUAAUAUUAAGUUGUAUGAAAUAAAAUAAUUUUAUAUAUCUUUUUUUCCAGAAAACUUUUUUAAGAGAGCCUACCAUUAGAGUAAGAAAAACAAA